rnacentral:rRNA from 1 species
AUUGAACGCUAGCGGGAUGCUUUACACAUGCAAGUCGAACGGCAGCGCGGACUUCGGUCUGGCGGCGAGUGGCGAACGGGUGAGUAAUGUAUCGGAACGUACCCAGUAGCGGGGGAUAACUACUCGAAAGAGUGGCUAAUACCGCAUACGCCCUACGGGGGAAAGGGGGGGAUCGCAAGACCUCUCACUAUUGGAGCGGCCGAUAUCGGAUUAGCUAGUUGGUGGGGUAAAGGCCUACCAAGGCGACGAUCCGUAGCUGGUUUGAGAGGACGACCAGCCACACUGGGACUGAGACACGGCCCAGACUCCUACGGGAGGCAGCAGUGGGGAAUUUUGGACAAUGGGGGAAACCCUGAUCCAGCCAUCCCGCGUGUGCGACGAAGGCCUUCGGGUUGUAAAGCACUUUUGGCAGGAAAGAAAUGGCCCGGGUUAACACCUCGGGUCGAUGACGGUACCUGCAGAAUAAGCACCGGCUAACUACGUGCCAGCAGCCGCGGUAA